rnacentral:rRNA from 1 species
CACGAACGCUGGCGGCAGGCUUAACACAUGCAAGUCGAGCGCCCCGCAAGGGGAGCGGCAGACGGGUGAGUAACGCGUGGGAAUCUACCCAUCUCUACGGAAUAACGCAUGGAAACGUGUGCUAAUACCGUAUACGUCCUUCGGGAGAAAGAUUUAUCGGAGAUGGAUGAGCCCGCGUUGGAUUAGCUAGUUGGUGGGGUAAAGGCCUACCAAGGCGACGAUCCAUAGCUGGUCUGAGAGGAUGAUCGGCCGCACUGGGACUGAGACACGGCCCAGACUCCUACGGGAGGCAGCAGUGGGGAAUAUUGGACAAUGGGCGCAAGCCUGAUCCAGCCAUGCCGCGUGAGUGAUGAAGGCCCUAGGGUUGUAAAGCUCUUUCACCGGUGAAGAUAAUGACGGUAACCGGAGAAGAAGCCCCGGCUAACUUCGUGCCAGCCGCCGCAGUAAUAC